UACAGAGGUCUCAAGCGUUGUUCGGAUUCAUUGGGCGUAAAGGGUGCGUAGGCGGCGCGGUAAGUCGGGUGUGAAAUCUCGGGGCUUAACUCCGAAACUGCAUUCGAUACUGCCGUGCUUGAGGACUGGAGAGGAGACUGGAAUUUACGGUGUAGCGGUGAAAUGCGUAGAUACCGUAAGGAAGACCAGUGGCGAAGGCGGGUCUCUGGACAGUUCCUGACGCUGAGGCACGAAGGCCAGGGGAGCAAACGGG
rnacentral:rRNA from 1 species